rnacentral:rRNA from 1 species
UACGUAGGGGGCAAGCGUUGUCCGGAUUUAUUGGGCGUAAAGAGCGUGUAGGCGGCCAGGUAGGUCUGCUGUGAAAACUCGAGGCUCAACCUCGAGAUGUCGGCGGAAACCGUCUGGCUAGAGUCCGGAAGAGGAGAGUGGAAUUCCUGGUGUAGCGGUGGAAUGCGCAGAUAUCAGGAAGAACACCGACGGCGAAGGCAGCUCGCUGGGACGGUACUGACGCUGAGGCGCGAAAGCGUGGGGAGCGAACAGG